GAGACUAGUAUUCCCAGAAAUCCAACAAUCAUAUAGACACAAAAUUUCAUUAAUCUGAUGAAUGGGGAUUCAAUACAUCCCGACAUGAUUCACAGAUCUCAUCAAGCAUCUAGCAAUAAACUACAUCACAUUAUCUUAUUGUCUUAAAACACAUCACAAUUCAUACAACAGUGCAUCACUGAAAAUUAAGAAGUCUCUGCCCAAG
rnacentral:lncRNA from 1 species